UAAAGUCAUUGGACGGUGACGGUAACCAUACUCACCUAAAAUUUGAAACUGAGGAAGAUUAGAUUAGACCGUCCAGAAGGUAAAAGGUAAAGAAAUAAUAUUACUAUCAAACAAAGGGGUUUGAAACAAAAAUUACAACCUAUUUCCAAGUUCCAUCACAUAGGUAAAAGGUAAUUUUAAAACCUUACAGCCUUGUAUAAUCCCCCCAUUCCAAAAGCUUAUAUCCCAGAUAAGCUAGAACAUUAUUAAAACUAGUCUAGCAACUUCACAUUACACUGCAACUAUUGGCAUUUUCAUCACUGAAGAAGUGAGUGUAGGGAUCAGCCAUUGGAUGUGGUGGCAUUGGCGGCAGCGGCAUGUAAUUAACAGCUGGUUGCGGUCUGGCAUACAUCAUUGGUUGAAACAUAUCAUUCCCAUUUUGCCUCUGCUGAUUCAUCAUCAUUGCCAUAUAUUGUUGAUUGUAAGGGUUGCCUCCUCCCAUCAUCCCUUGAUAAUAACCACCAUUCAUGGCUGCUGGUGGUGCAGGCAGUCCUUGCACUGCAGGAAAAUUACCCAUUGGGCGCAUCUGGGCCAUCUGACCCAUCUGGCCUAUCUGGCUCAUCUGACCCAUCUGGCCCAUCUGGCUCAUCUGACCCAUCUGGCCC
rnacentral:misc_RNA from 1 species